UACGUGAGGGGCGAACGUUGUUCGGUGUCACUGGGCUUAAAGGGUGCGUAGGUGGUUGCGUAAGUAACGUGUGAAAUCCCUCGGCUUACCCGGGGAAUUGCAUGUUAUACUGCGUGACUUGAGGACUAAAGGGGAAAAGGGAACUCCAGGUGUAGCGGUGAAAUGCGCAGAUAUCUGGGGGAAGGCCGGCGGCGAAGGCGCUUUUCUGGGUUAGAUCCGUGACACUGAGGCACGAAAGCGUGGGGAGCAAACAGGG
rnacentral:rRNA from 1 species